rnacentral:tRNA from 1 species
AGAGGUAUAGCUCAGUGGUAGAGUGCACGCUUAGCAUGCACAAGGUCCUGGGUUCAAUCCCUGUACCUCCA